GAUCAUGGACUCAGAACGAACGCUGGCGGCGCGCUUAAGCAUGCAAGUCAAACGGCAAGAGGUAGCAAUACCUCCUAGAGUGGCGGACUGGUGAGUAACACGUGGGUGACAUACCCUUCAGAUGGGGAUAGCUAUUAGAAAUAGUAGAUAAUACCGAAUACGAGCACAGGGGUUAGAGAUCUGUGAGGAAAGGAGCUAAGGCUCCGCUGAAGGAAUGGCCUGCGGCCCAUUAGCUAGUUGGUGAGGUAAGAGCCCACCAAGGCGAUGAUGGGUAUCCGGCCUUAGAGGGUGAACGGACACAUUGGGACUGAGAUACGGCCCAGACUCCUACGGGAGGCAGCAGCUAAGAAUAUUCCGCAAUGGACGAAAGUCUGACGGAGCGACGCCGCGUGGAUGAAGAAGGCCGGAAGGUUGUAAAAUCCUUUUGAAACUGAAGAAUAAGCGUUGUAGGGAAUGACAGCGUGGUGACAGUAGGUUUUGAAUAAGCAACGGCUAAUUACGUGCCAGCCGCCGC
rnacentral:rRNA from 1 species